GUGGUAAUGCCGGAUGCUCCAGUUGAUCGCAUGGUCUUCUGGGAAAGCUUUCGCGGUAUGGGAUGGGGUCGCGUCCUAUCAGCUUGACGGCGGGGUAACGGCCCACCGUGGCUUCGACGGGUAGCCGGCCUGAGAGGGCGACCGGCCACAUUGGGACUGAGAUACGGCCCAGACUCCUACGGGAGGCAGCAGUGGGGAAUAUUGCACAAUGGGCGCAAGCCUGAUGCAGCGACGCCGCGUGAGGGAUGGAGGCCUUCGGGUUGUAAACCUCUUUUAUCGGGGAGCAAGCGAGAGUGAGUUUACCCGUUGAAUAAGCACCGGCUAACUACGUGCCAGCAGCCGCGGUAAUACGUAGGGUGCAAGCGUUAUCCGGAAUUAUUGGGCGUAAAGGGCUCGUAGGCGGUUCGUCGCGUCCGGUGUGAAAGUCCAUCGCUUAACGGUGGAUCCGCGCCGGGUACGGGCGGGCUUGAGUGCGGUAGGGGAGACUGGAAUUCCCGGUGUAACGGUGGAAUGUGUAGAUAUCGGGAA
rnacentral:rRNA from 1 species